rnacentral:rRNA from 1 species
GCAUAUCAAUAAGCGGAGGAAAAGAAACCAACAGGGAUUACCUCAGUAACGGCGAGUGAAGCGGUAACAGCUCAAAUUUGAAAUCUGGCUUUCGGGUCCGAGUUGUAAUUUGUAGAAGAUGCUUUGGGUACGGUUCUAGUCUAAGUUCCUUGGAACAGGACGUCAUAGAGGGUGAGAAUCCCGUAUGUGAUUAGCCUCCGUGCCCGUGUAAAGCUCUUUCGACGAGUCGAGUUGUUUGGGAAUGCAGCUCAAAAUGGGUGGUAUAUUUCAUCUAAAGCUAAAUAUUGGCCAGAGACCGAUAGCGCACAAGUAGAGUGAUCGAAAGAUGAAAAGCACUUUGGAAAGAGAGUUAAACAGUACGUGAAAUUGUUGAAAGGGAAGCGCUUGCAACCAGACUUGUAGGCUGCUGAUCAUCUAGGGUUCUCCCUAGUGCACUCGGUAGUUUUCAGGCCAGCAUCGGUUUGAGUGGUGGGAUAAAGGCCUAAGGAAUGUGGCUCUUCGGAGUGUUAUAGCCUAAGGUGCAAUGCUGCCUACUCGGACCGAGGACCGCGCUUCGGCUAGGAUGCUGGCGUAAUGGUUGUAAGCGACCCGUCUUGAAACACGGACCAAGGAGUCUAACAUCUAUGCGAGUGUUUGGGUGUUAAACCCAUACGCGUAAUUAACGUGAACGGAGGUAAGAACCCUUAAGGGUGCAUUAUCGACCGAUCCUGAUGUCUUCGGAUGGAUUUGAGUAAGAGCAUAGCUGUUGGGACCCGAAAGAUGGUGAACUAUGCCUGAAUAGGGUGAAGCCAGAGGAAACUCUGGUGGAGGCUCGCAGCGGUUCUGACGUGCAAAUCGAUCGUCAAAUUUGGGUAUAGGGGCGAAAGACUAAUCGAACCAUCUAGUAGCUGGUUCCUGCGA